GCCAUUUUGAAGGGAAGGGAAUGUCUUUGGUUAAGGGUAAAUCUGUAGCAGGGCAGACUAUUAACCCAUUUUAGCAGUCACAAAAUUUGAAUCUACUGUCUUUUGCAACUCAAAAAGUGGCUUCAUUUAUUAUUGUGAGCUAUUAAUGUAAGAUAAAAUAAUCAGUGUGAACAUAUCUUUGCAUUUUUCUUUACAUCAAUAAUUGUUCAUACCAAAAGCUUAAUUACCUGUUUCCCUUUUAUUAAUGUACAGUUUCCCACUUGUGGUCAUAAAGCCUCGCUUAUUUUUUUUUUUCUUUCAGCCACAUUUCAGUUUGCUUAGAGAUAUAUACUUACAAAUUUCGAAAAACUAAUGCAUGGAACAUAGGAAGAGUUGUACAGAUUCUUGAGUUGGAGGUUUAUUUAUUUUUUUAAAUAUUUAUUUAUUUUUGAGAGAGAGAAUGUGAGCAGGGUAGGGGCAGAGAGAGAGGGAGACACAGAAUCCAAAGCAGGCUCCAGGCUCUAAGCCAUCAGGACAGAGCCUAACACGGGGAUUCAAACUCAUGAACCAUGAGAUCAUGACCUGAGCCAAAGCCAGAUGCUUAACCAUUGAGCCACCCAGGCACCCCAAGGAGGUUUAUUCUUCAAAAUGAAGUUAAAGCUGAUUAACUGCUAAAACUUAAAAUUUCUUAACCAUUUACUCCUUUUCAGAAUAAGCAUUUCAACAGCCUUUCUUCUAAGGUGUAUACUUUGGAGGGUAGAUCGAAGUCAGUUGACCUUUGGGAAUGGCUGAAGUUAAUCAAACCAAGAGCUUUUCCCAAAUUGAGUGAUAAAAAUCAAUAGGUAGGGACUCAACAAGGUUUGCUGUUCUCACUUGGAUGGACAGGUACCGGUUUCUUUUUCCUUAGCCUUGAGCUAACCAUUGGGUGUGUUAGUGCCCUCUUUUGGUGUAAGGAGGGUACUGCAGCUGGCAUCCUUAAAUAAUACUUAAAUAAUAUGUGCGAGCAAUAGACAUCCUUUUGUGUUUUAUUUUUUUUUAAUUUUUCAAAAAAAUUUUAAAUUUAUUUUUGAGAGAGAGCACAAGCGGGAGGGGGAAGAGAGAGAGGGAGACACAGAAUCCAAAGCAAGUUCCAGGCUGAGUUCUCAACACAGAGCCCGAUGCAGGGCCUGACUCAUGAACUGUGAGAUCGUGACCUGAACCGAUUUGGACGCUCAACUAAUUGAGCGCCCCAGGAGCCCCCAUUCUUUUAGGUUUUUAAAGUAAAAUAAUAUGGUCACAUUACAGAAUAUUUGGUAAGUUAAAGGAAGGAUUCACUCAUAAUUCUACCCAAAUAUAAACAUCCUUGAUGAAUUCAGGCAUUCUUUGUCAAAUGCUUCAACUGCCGUUAGUAAAAUAAUUAAGAUAACUGAGCAGUGAAGUUAAUAUAUUUACAGUUAUAAAAAGAGGUUGUAUUGAGGCACCUGUGUGUCUCAGUUGGUUAAGUGUCUGACUCUUGAUUUUGGCUCAGGUCAUGAUGUCACGGUUCGUGAGUUCAAGCCCUGUGUUGGGUUCUGUGUUGACAAUGUGAGCCUACUUGGGGUUCUCUUUCUCUCUGCCCCUGCCCUGUUCAUGUGUGUGCAUGCAUGCACGCUCUCAUAGAGAAGAAUAAAUUAGUUUUAAAAAACUUUAGAUCAGGGGUGCCUGGGUGGCUCAGUCAGUUGAGUGUCCGACUUCAGCUCAGGUCAGGAUCUUGCAGUUCGUGAGUUCGAGCCCCGCGUCGGUCUCUGUGCUGACAGCUCAGAGCCUGGAGCCUGUUUCACAUUCUGUGUCUCCCUCUCUCUGCCCCUUCCCUGCUCAUGUCCUGUCUCUCUCUGUCUCUCAAAAAUGAAUAAACGUUAAAAAUAAGAAACCUUUAGAUCAAAAAUAGAAAUUUUUAAAGAGGUUGUAUUAUGUAUUGAAAUAUUAUGUAUUGAAAUAAAAAGCAUAAUUCAUACAGCACAAGACUUUCAAGUAGAGACAACUAGAAAAAAAUUAAGAAUUUUUCAAAUGAAAAUAAAUGUUAGGUAAUGUUAUAUUAAAGUUGUAACCUGAAAAGUAAGGAAACAGUGACUUCGCACUUUUGAGAACUUUUGGCUUUCAUUUUUCCAGUACCUAUUAAACUGGCUUAGGUCACUACUCUUUAGGACUUUUGGAAAAGGCCAGCCAGAGCUUCAUUCUGUCUCUGUAAGGUAGAGGACUAAAGUAGCACUUUGUUAGUCCAUUGGCUCUCAAUUAAGAUCUUACUCCGCUGUGGAUAGAUUCAAGAAGGUAGACCUUGUCAGGCAUUGGAUGUAGGGAAUGAGGGAGAAGGAAGAGUGAGUCCUAUUUCUCAAUCUCUGUCUUGGGUAGACAUUCCACUAGGUGCUUAGUGGGAUCUCAUUGUAGUUUUAAUUUGCAUUUCCCUAAUGACUAAUGGUGUUGGGCAUUGUUUCAUGCGUUUACUUGCCAUCCAUGUAUCUUCUUUGAUGAAAGAUGUGUCCACAUUUUUGACUAGUUUAUAUUGUUUUUUUGCUUUUGAGAAAAUUUAUAUAUACAUAUUCUGGAUGCAAGUUGUUUAGAUAGAAGUCAAAUAUAUACUUUGCAAAUACUUUCUAGUGUGUGGCUUUUAUUCUUUUAACGUCUUUCAAAAAUAGCAGAAUAAACUUUUAAAAAAAGGGUGCCUGGGUGGCUCAGUUAAGUGUCCAACUCUUGAUUUCGGCUCAGGUCAUGAUCUCCCAGUUGGUGAAAUUUUCCCACAUUGGGCUUUGUGCUAACAGCACAGAGCCUACUUGAGAUUCUCUUUCCCUUUCUUUCUGCCCUCCCCUGCUUGCUUGCUCGCUCGCUCGCUCGCUCUC